GUUCUCAUUUUCCUACUGCGCUGGGUAAGUGGGUUUGUGGGCCUUGUAGCUGUUACUCUUUUGUGCUUUGUCUUUUUCUUUUAUUUUCUUUUGAGCGAUUGUGCGAACAUAGCAUAGCACGCGCUAUGCCUUCUGUGUUGUAGCUGUCUGGCCAGGAUGACUGGUGAAUAAGGUCUUGUGCGUGGCCUCGAGGCUUAAAAGUAGUAGCGGGGCUUUGUGAAGGACAAAAUGGCGAUGGCGGGCCGUGCAGGUCCCCUCCCUAUGAUGAGGACCUUUUCACAGACCUGUACUGAGCUCCGUGAGGAUAUGUAACUCUGAGGAGAUGGGCCCUGCAAGCCUCAUGCUUAGUAACCGUCUGUUCAGAAAAUAGCGUUUUCGAAAUGCCCUGUGUUGACCUAAUGUCUUCUUGGGCUCCUGUCUCCAGGGUUUACGCGCACGUUGGAAUCGAAGAGAGUUCUAUUGUUGCAAUGUUCAGCCCACAAGAGCUUACUGGUGAAGGAAUGGGACAAGACCCAUCUUUAUGCAAAGCCAGCGUUACAGUAAUGUUCCAGCAUCUCAUAACCUAUCCUGAGGAAUUCAGCUGCCUCCCAGGGUGAAUACAGGUAUUCCUGAUGACAGUCUGCCUCUAUCUUACAGAGCAGCUUGUUGCUAUAUACCAUUGAAAAGCCUUCAGAGCUGAGAGGUACUACUAACCAAUAACCUGCUUGGCUCAAAGGGCCAGCACCUUCUCUCUAAAGCCCAAGAGGAGUUGGAGGAAAACUAAGUGUCUCUGUUCACUCCAGGCUGAAAUUACAGGUGAGUAAACCUAAAUGUAAGGUGGAUUAUGCUAAAAAUUCCCAAUGAAGAAACUUUCACAUGUCUUACUCUCUGUCCUAGUCCCAGAGCCUGUAAAGGUGAACCCACUGGGACUGGCUGGGGGAGAAGAGGAAGAUUUGUUCCAGAAGGAACUGUCUGAGGGAUGAUAAAGAUUUCUAUACAGAGAAAGGGAGUAAUCAUCACUUGUUGAAAACAUUGGUUUUAUUUUUUCCAGGUCUGAGGAAAGAAGGUGUAUAAAAAAUGGAAUCUGUCUUGGAGGACAUCAGAAAGUGAAUUUUCCAAGUCCUUGGACAACCUAGCUGUUGAAAAGCUUUCUGGGUUUGGGGGGGGUCUUUCAGAUGUACCUUAAAGUGUUAGCAAACACAGAUUUAAGACACUGGGAGCCAAUGAAACAGCAGUUGAGGGUUUGCUGUGUAUCACAUUUCUGUAUUUUAUUACCCCCUUCCUGCAACAUUAUUUCUGUGGAAUCUACCUGCCCUUUUGUUUUUUAGAUACAAGGGCUUGGUAUUGUUACCAAGGCUGGUUUCAAGGCCCUAGCUUUGAGAUCCACUACAGAUUUCCAAAGUGCUGGGAUUACAGGUGUGAUGCGUGGCACCCAGACUUUGCUGCCUUUCUUACAUGAUCCAGGCCCAGAACCCAAACUCAGGCACUGCAUAGAUGACCAGUUUGGUAAACUACUGACCUAGCUUGUUGCCAGUUGUUGAUUGAGCUUCCCAUAACUCCACUUCAUUUCUGUUCCUCUGUAUACAGCCACCUUCUAUUCCCAUCAUGAGCCUUUAGGUCUCCAUUUCCAUAUUGCAAAUACUAUGUUCCACGUAGGUAGCUCAGUCAGGGCCUUGCUCUUCACUUCAAAAAAGAUUCCCUUGAGGACUGGCUGUCAAUUUGUGUUUCUGUGUUGGUUGUUAAUGAAAAUAAUAAAAUGAUGGAUUACAUA